rnacentral:rRNA from 1 species
AUUGCCACCUUUCUUCAUGCUUUACACAUGCAAGUCGAACGGCAGCGCGGGCUUCGGCCUGGCGGCGAGUGGCGAACGGGUGAGUAAUACAUCGGAACGUGCCCAGUAGUGGGGGAUAGCUCGGCGAAAGCCGGAUUAAUACCGCAUACGACCUGAGGGUGAAAGCGGGGGAUCUUCGGACCUCGCGCUAUUGGAGCGGCCGAUGGCAGAUUAGCUAGUUGGUGGGGUAAAGGCCUACCAAGGCGACGAUCUGUAGCUGGUCUGAGAGGACGACCAGCCACACUGGGACUGAGACACGGCCCAGACUCCUACGGGAGGCAGCAGUGGGGAAUUUUGGACAAUGGGCGAAAGCCUGAUCCAGCAAUGCCGCGUGUGUGAUGAAGGCCUUCGGGUUGUAAAGCACUUUUGGCGGGAACGAAAAGGACUGUGCCAAUACCACGGUUCGAUGACGGUACCCGCAGAAUAAGCACCGGCUAACUACGUG